rnacentral:rRNA from 1 species
GUCAUUUAGAGGAAGUAAAAGUCGUAACAAGGUUUCCGUAGGUGAACCUGCGGAAGGAUCAUUAAAAAAAGAGAAACGUCCCGUUUUUUUCAUAAGAAUGGGUUCUAUUCCCUUAAACCGUGUCUACAUACCUUUGUUGCUUUGGCAGGCCGCCUUCGGGCGUCGGCUCCGGCUGAUAGUGCCUGCCAGAGGACCCAAACUCUAUGCUUAGUGAUGUCUGAGUACUAUAUAAUAUUUAAAACUUUCAACAACGGAUCUCUUGGUUCUGGCAUCGAUGAAGAACGCAGCGAAAUGCGAUAAGUAAUGUGAAUUGCAGAAUUCAGUGAAUCAUCGAAUCUUUGAACGCACAUUGCGCCCCUUGGUAUUCCGAGGGGCAUGCCUGUUCGAGCGUCAUUAUAACCACUCAAGCCUGGCUUGGUAUUGGGGUUUUCGCGUGUUCGCGGCCCUUAAAAUCAGUGGCGGUGCCGUCUGGCUCUAAGCGUAGUAAUUUCUCUCGCUAUAGGGUUCCGGUGGUUACUUGCCAAAACCCCCCUAUUUUUUCUAGGUUGACCUCGGAUCAGGUAGGGAUACCCGCUGAACUUAAGCAUAUCAAUAAGCGGAGGA